rnacentral:rRNA from 1 species
CCGUUCUUAGAGUCAGCCUGCCCAGUGAUAACAUUCAACGGCCGCAGUACCCUAACUGCGCGAAGGUAGCAUAAUCACUUGUUCUUUAAAUAGGGACUAGUAUCAACGGCAUCACGAGGGUUGCACUGUCUCCUUUGUCUAAUCAGUGAAACUGAUCUCCCCGUGAAAAAGCGGGGAUACACCUAUAAGACGAGAAGACCCCAUGGAGCUUUAAACCUACAGCAACUCAACCACAUAAUCCCACACAACCUUAGAGACAUGCCUGUUGGCUUUAGGUUGGGGUGACCGCGGAGUAAAAAUCAUCCUCCACAACACAAAGAUCUAAAUCUUUAUUCAAGAGCCACUACUCUAAAAAUUAGCAUACUAAUGUACACUGACCCGAUAAUCGACUAAUGAACCAAGUUACCCUGGGGAUAACAGCGCAAUCUAUUUCAAGAGUUCAUAUCGACAAAUAGGCUUACGACCUCGAUGUUGGAUCAGGGUACCCUAGUGGUGUAGCAGCUACUGAAGGUUCGUUUGUUCAACGAUUAAAACCCUACGUGAUCUGUU